AGAUUAAGUUAUUAAGGGCGCACGGUGGAUGCCUUGGCACUAGAAGCCGAUGAAGGACGUUACUAACGACGAUAUGCUUUGGGGAGCUGUAAGUAAGCGUUGAUCCAGAGAUUUCCGAAUGGGGAAACCCAGCAUGAGUUAUGUCAUGUUAUCGAUAUGUGAAUACAUAGCAUAUCAGAAGGCAGACCCGGAGAACUGAAACAUCUUAGUACCCGGAGGAAGAGAAAGAAAAAUCGAUUCCCUGAGUAGCGGCGAGCGAAACGGGAAGAGCCCAAACCAACAAGCUUGCUUGUUGGGGUUGUAGGACACUCUAUACGGAGUUACAAAAGUAUAUAUUAGACGAAUCAUCUGGAAAGUUGAAUCAAAGAAGGUAAUAAUCCUGUAGUCGAAAAUAUAUACUCUCUUGAGUGGAUCCUGAGUACGACGGAGCACGUGAAAUUCCGUCGGAAUCUGGGAGGACCAUCUCCUAAGGCUAAAUACUCUCUAGUGACCGAUAGUGAACCAGUACCGUGAGGGAAAGGUGAAAAGUACCCCGGAAGGGGAGUGAAAGAGAACUUGAAACCGUGUGCUUACAAGUAGUCAGAGCCCGUUAAUGGGUGAUGGCGUGCCUUUUGUAGAAUGAACCGGCGAGUUACGAUUUGAUGCAAGGUUAAGCAGCUAAU
rnacentral:rRNA from 1 species